rnacentral:rRNA from 1 species
AGCGGCGGAUGGGUGAGUAACACGUGGGGAACCUGCCCCUAAGUCUGGGAUACCAUUUGGAAACAGGUGCUAAUACCGGAUAAUAAAGCAGAUCGCAUGAUCAGCUUUUGAAAGGCGGCGUAAGCUGUCGCUAAGGGAUGGCCCCGCGGUGCAUUAGCUAGUUGGUAAGGUAACGGCUUACCAAGGCGACGAUGCAUAGCCGAGUUGAGAGACUGAUCGGCCACAUUGGGACUGAGACACGGCCCAAACUCCUACGGGAGGCAGCAGUAGGGAAUCUUCUACAAUGGACGCAAGUCUGAUGGAGCAACGCCGCGUGAGUGAAGAAGGUUUUCGGAUCGUAAAGCUCUGUUGUUGGUGAAGAAGGAUAGAGGUAGUAACUGGCCUUUAUUUGACGGUAAUCAGCCAGAAAGUCACGGCUAACUACGUGCCAGCAGCCGCGGUAAUACGUAGGUGGCAAGCGUUGUCCGGAUUUAUUGGGCGUAAAGCGAGCGCAGGCGGAAAAAUAAGUCUAAUGUGAAAGCCCUCGGCUUAACCGAGGAACUGCAUCGGAAACUGUUUUUCUUGAGUGCAGAAGAGGAGAGUGGAACUCCAUGUGUAGCGGUGGAAUGCGUAGAUAUAUGGAAGAACACCAGUGGCGAAAGGCGGCUCUCUGGUCUGCAACUGACGCUGAGGCUCGAAAGCAUGGGUAGCGAACAGGAUUAGAUACCCUGGUAGUCCAUGCCGUAAACGAUGAGUGCUAAGUGU